rnacentral:rRNA from 1 species
AACGAACGCUGGCGGCGUGGAUAAGACAUGCAAGUCGGACGAGAUUUUUCGUUGUAGCAAUACGAUGGAAAAUUUAGUGGCGAACGGGUGCUUAACACGUGGGCAACCUGCCAGGAAGUGGGGGACAGCUCGCCGAAAGGCGGAUUAAUACCGCAUGUGAUUAGAGAGGACAUCCUUUCGAAAUUAAAGUCGGGGCAACCUGACGCUUCUUGUGGGGCCCGCGGCCUAUCAGCUAGUUGGUGAGGUAACGGCUCACCAAGGCUUUGACGGGUAGCUGGUCUGAGAGGACGACCAGCCACACUGGGACUGAGACACGGCCCAGACACCUACGGGUGGCAGCAGUCGAGAAUUUUUGACAAUGGGGGAAACCCUGAUCGAGCGACGCCGCGUGGAGGAUGAAGGUCUUCGGAUUGUAAACUCCUGUCAUUGGGGAACAAUGCACAGAUAUUAACUGUAUUUGUGUUGAUAGUACCCGAAGAGGAAGAGACGGCUAACUCUGUGCCAGCCGCCGCCGUAA